rnacentral:rRNA from 1 species
CACGGGGGGAGCAAGCGUUGUUCGGAAUCACUGGGCGUAAAGCGCGUGUAGGCGGCCGGCUAGGUCUGGUGUGAAAACUCGAGGCUCAACCUCGAGAUGUCGCCGGAAACCAGUCGGCUAGAGUCCGGAAGAGGAGAGUGGAAUUCCUGGUGUAGCGGUGAAAUGCGCAGAUAUCAGGAAGAACACCUAUGGCGAAAGCAGCUCUCUGGGACGGUACUGACGCUGAGACGCGAAAGCGUGGGGAGCGAACAGG